rnacentral:misc_RNA from 1 species
GUAGGUGAACCUGCGGAAGGAUCAUUAACACGUUUUAUUUAAAACCAAAACGUACUAAAACUCUGUGAACGAGAUUUCCAAAUAGAUCUCAUAACAAAUAAUAAUAUUAUUUUAAUACUAGGUAUUAUAUGGUAGUAUUAUUAAUAUCAUAUUAAUAUUAAUAAUAUUAUUAGGGAUUCCUAUUUGGGUUCAUAAAUCUCACCAUUUUUUCCCAAUAUCACCAACCCCUAAAACUACCUAAUAUAUAGGU